rnacentral:sRNA from 1 species
AACAGAAUUUUGGUUUGGAGAAGUAGUUGAUGACCACGUUAAACAGCAAGCCCCGAUGGGCCAGACAGAUGAGAGCCUGGCCCAAACCACAGCAGUGAAACUGGAAUUACAGGGCCAGCAUCGGAGGGAGAGUCCUGCCGGAGUCCUCCUAAAAGAGGACAAGGAAGUAGUUGAGACAGAUGUCCCCACAGGCCAGUUGAGGGCAAGAAUGUGUGUUUCCAUGCCUAGGACCUAAUUCUACGCCGAUUUAGAUCUUAAGAUGUCAAGAGAACAAUCGGAUGAUGAGACUGAGGAGUCGGUGAAGUUUAAGAGGUUACACAAGCUGGUAAACUCCACUCGCAGAGUCAGAAAGAAACUAAUUAGGGUGGAAGAAAUGAAAAAACCCAGCACUGAAGGUGGGGAGGAGCACGUGUUUGAGAAUUCUCCCGUCCUGGAUGAACGGUCCGCCCUCUACUCUGGCGUGCACAAGAAGCCCCUUUUCUUUGAUGGCUCUCCUGAGAAACCUCCCGAAGAUGACUCAGACUCUCUCACGGCGUCUCCAUCCUCCAGCAGCCUGGACACCU